CGUAGGGUGCAAGCGUUAAUCGGAAUUACUGGGCGUAAAGCGUGCGCAGGCGGUUAUAUAAGACAGAUGUGAAAUCCCCGGGCUCAACCUGGGAACUGCAUUUGUGACUGUAUAGCUAGAGUACGGCAGAGGGGGAUGGAAUUCCGCGUGUAGCAGUGAAAUGCGUAGAUAUGCGGAGGAACACCGAUGGCGAAGGCAAUCCCCUGGGCCUGUACUGACGCUCAUGCACGAAAGCGUGGGAGCAAACAGGAUU
rnacentral:rRNA from 1 species